CUCUACGUCGACGCGGAAAUAUUUCGCCGAGGCCGAAGCCAUGGACGUCGAUGCUAUGUAGAUGCCAGUUCCAGCAGAAAUUUGAGCGGCUGCUUUCAGCAGUCGGGAAACAAAAAAAAAAUUAACACGGGCGUCCUCUACACGGACCUCCUGAAAGACAGACGCAGACCUACCUCAGCAUAGUUUGUUGAGCUACCACGGCUGGUCUAUUUGUCGCUCUUGCAUGGUGCCUGGAUAACUGACGAGAAGGAAAAGGUUGGAAGCCGCAUGUGGGCUAAGUUUUGCAGUUUAUGAUCUCAGAGCACAUAGUUUACGCUGUAUUAUCUGCCGAAAAAAAUAUUACGUCCAUAUCUUGACGACCGUUUGUUAUUUAAACGCUAUCAAACCUAAAUAAAUAAAUAAAUAAAUAAAUAAAUAAAUAAAUAAAUAAA